UACGUAGGGAGCAAGCGUUGUCCGGAAUCAUUGGGCGUAAAGCGCGCGUAGGUGGCCUCAUAAGUCCGCUGUGAAAGUCCAAGGCUCAACCUUGGAAAGCCGGUGGAUACUGUGAGGCUAGAGUACGGAAGAGGCGAGUGGAAUUCCUGGUGUAGCGGUGGAAUGCGCAGAUAUCAGGAGGAACACCAAUAGCGAAGGCAGCUCGCUGGGACGUUACUGACACUAAGGCGCGAAAGCGUGGGGAGCAAACAGG
rnacentral:rRNA from 1 species